GGAACGGUCCUACUUCGUCCAGCCGGCUCCCAAGCCCGGCCCGUAAAAUUCUCGUUGCGCGCCCGGCAUGAACGUCGCCGGGCCGGGAUCGCAGCGGUGAUCGACUUCGCGCCAGAAAAAAUCCCAAAGCUCGAGUCCCUACCCGGUGAGCAUUCCCGGCUCGACCAGGCUGGCAGCGAGCGAGGGCUAAAGGACGUCGGCGCACCAUGUCAAAUGACGAUGACGAAAACAUGCAAGCCGAGCUCACCAGGCGGGUGACGAGAGGUGGCGUCACCACAAGGACGACCACCAAGGGCGGCAAGAAGAGCAAGACCAAGAAGGAAGGUGAGCUGACCAUGAUGAGAACCGGAAACACUCAAAAUAAGAAAGGUAGGAAA